rnacentral:tRNA from 1 species
UGUGGGGUAGAGCAGGUUGGUAGCUCAUCAGGCUCAUAAUCUGAAGGUCAUAGGUUCAAAUCCUAUCUCCACAA